AUACGGAGGGUCCAAGCGUUAUCCGGAAUCAUUGGGUUUAAAGGGUUCGUAGGCGGGUCAAUAAGUCAGAGGUGAAAUCUUGCAGCUUAACUGUAAAAUUGCCUUUGAAACUGUUGACCUUGAAUUACUGUGAAGUGGUUAGAAUAUGUAGUGUAGCGGUGAAAUGCUUAGAGAUUACAUAGAAUACCGAUUGCGAAGGCAGAUCACUAACAGUAUAUUGACGCUGAUGAACGAAAGCGUGGGUAGCGCACGGGAUUAGAAACCCCAGUAGUCC
rnacentral:rRNA from 1 species